rnacentral:misc_RNA from 1 species
CGGACGAAGCUGCCGCGACUGCGCUAGAAACUCGUUUCCGCGCCCCGCGUGUGGGCUUCUUCGUGGACACCGGAGCCUUGCCAUGAUCUCUCUCAUGCUGCUGGCUGCGCUGCUGUGGGGCGUGACGAACCCGCUGCUGAAGCACUACAGCCGAGGGAUGGCGAGCAGCGGGUCCGCGAAGGAUGACGCGCUGUUUCUUGUGCGACGACCGAAGUACCUGUUCACACAGGCUGUGAACCUAAGUGGAUCCGUCGUGUUUUUUUACUCGCUGCGUGAGGUGGACGUGUCGGUUGGCUCGAUUGUGGUGAACUCGCUUUCAUUCGUUAUCACUGUUCUGAUGAGUGUGUUGGUUAUGCGCGAGGGUCUGUUGCGCGCGCGGACCACUGCGGGGUGCCUUCUGGUGAUGGUGGGGACUGCGCUGUGUACCUACUCGUCCAGCGCGAGCUGAGGGUGCGUCCGCUAGGCCAUCCGCGACCUGUGAUCAGAUGUCCCGUCUUUUGACGGCACUGCUUGUGUGGUUGUGCGUGUGUGUUUUGCGAAUAUGUGCAUGAGUCAGCGGAGCUCAAGCGGUCGGAUAGCGAUGCCGCUGGCGGAAUGUGCGUGUGAAUGCGUGCUACACAAUCCGUGGCGUUCUGGCCUUAGAGCAAACAGCUCUGAAAGCAACCCUAUGCUAAGCAUGCGAUGUUGCACAUGCUUUUCUGGCCGCUUCUGUCGUUCUCUCUUUCUUGGCGCGCAGGAUGACCCCGUAAUCAGAAAGGCAGCCGGUGGUCGAUGCUGGCGUUAUGUGUAUUUCUGCUGCCCUCGCGUCACAUGUGGGUGCGCGGUGCGAUGUAUCACGCAUGCCUACUUCUCUGCAGCCGAUGCAUAGAUGCUCCGCCGCUUCUGUUUUCUCGCUCCUUUUCGAGGCCUUUUCCAUUGUGUUGCCUGCGGCCAUACCCCGUACCCCAUCCCCGCCUGUUUGCGUCUGCCGUCCGUCCGAUACACACCCCCGUUCAUAUCUUUCUCUCCAG